GAAAAUGUCAGGUAGUACUUUUCUGGUAAGGAUGCAAUUUCAUUCCAGGCUCUGUGGUGCACAGCUGGGAUCCCAGUGCUUAGGAGGCUGACACAGAAGGAUCAACUUGAACUCGAAUUUGAGCCUAGCCUCGGCUACUUAGUCGCCAGUCGCGCGGAACACACGCCAAAUCAGCCCGCUGCAGACAGGCAGGUCUGUGCACGCCCUACUGAGGUCCUGAGUCGCGCGGAAGACACCGAAUCACCCCGCUGCAGUCAGGCAGCCACCUGAUUCCACACUACAAAGAUGCAGAGGACACCAGACCACCAGACCAAGCACUUCAUUCUACAAGAUGAUCUUCUCAGCAGGUGUCAACAGGUUUCUGACAAGAACAAUGAAGAGACUGUAAUCAAUGAAUAACCCAACAUAUGCAGCACCAACAGUGUUUAUAAAGCAACUUAAAUAUUGAAAAUAUGAAGAAGAGUUUG
rnacentral:lncRNA from 1 species